GAGUUUGAUCCUGGCUCAGAUUGAACGCUGGCGGCAUGCCUUACACAUGCAAGUCGAACGGCAGCACGGGAGCAAUCCUGGUGGCGAGUGGCGAACGGGUGAGUAAUAUAUCGGAACGUGCCCAGUCGUGGGGGAUAACGCAGCGAAAGCUGUGCUAAUACCGCAUACGAUCUCUGGAUGAAAGCGGGGGACUCAGCAAUGGGCCUCGCGCGAUUGGAGCGGCCGAUAUCAGAUUAGCUAGUUGGUGGGGUAAAAGCUCACCAAGGCGACGAUCUGUAGCUGGUCUGAGAGGACGACCAGCCACACUGGAACUGAGACACGGUCCAGACUCCUACGGGAGGCAGCAGUGGGGAAUUUUGGACAAUGGGCGCAAGCCUGAUCCAGCAAUGCCGCGUGCAGGAUGAAGGCCUUCGGGUUGUAAACUGCUUUUGUACGGAACGAAACGGCUCUCUCUAAUAAAGAGGGCUAAUGACGGUACCGUAAGAAUAAGCACCGGCUAACUACGUGCCAGCAGCCGCGGUAAUAC
rnacentral:rRNA from 1 species